rnacentral:rRNA from 1 species
GACGGAGGAUGCAAGUGUUAUCCGGAAUCACUGGGCGUAAAGCGUCCGCAGGUGGCAGUUCAAGUCUGCUGUCAAAGACCGGGGCUUAACUUCGGAAAGGCAGUGGAAACUGAACAGCUAGAGUAUGGUAGGGGCAGAGGGAAUUCCUGGUGUAGCGGUGAAAUGCGUAGAUAUCAGGAAGAACAUCGGUGGCGAAGGCGCUCUGCUGGACCAUAACUGACACUCAGGGACGAAAGCUAGGGGAGCGAAUGGG